UAAUACUGGAUAGGCAAUUAUUCCUGUAAUGGUCUUUUGUUUAAAUGUUUUUUCGCCUAAGGAUGGGUCUGCGGCCGAUUAGGUAGUUGGUUAGGUAAUGGCUUACCAAGCCUUUGAUCGGUACGGGUUGUGAGAGCAAGAGCCCGGAGAUGGAACCUGAGACAAGGUUCCAGGCCCUACGGGGUGCAGCAGGCGCGAAACCUCCGCAAUGUGAGAAAUCGCGACGGGGGGAUCCCAAGUGCCAUUCUUAACGGGAUGGCUUUUCUUUAGUGUAAAAAGCUUUUGGAAUAAGAGCUGGGCAAGACCGGUGCCAGCCGCCGCGGUAACACCGGCAGCUCUAGUGGUAGCAAUUUUUAUUGGGCCUAAAGCGUCCGUAGCCGGUUUAAUAAGUCUCUGGUGAAAUCCUGUAGCUUAACUGUGGGAAUUGCUGGAGAUACUAUUAGACUUGAGACCGGGAGAGGUUAGAGGUACUCCCAGGGUAGAGGUGAAAUUCUGUAAUCCUGGGAGGACCGCCUGUUGCGAAGGCGUCUAACUGGAACGGUUCUGACGGUGAGGGACGAAAGUUAGGGGCGCGAACCGGAUUAGAUACCCGGGUAGUCCUAACUGUAAACGAUGCGGACUUGGUGUUG
rnacentral:rRNA from 1 species